GGGCUACAUUGAAGCGCUGGCUAGAGCGUCCCGAUCAGAUCGGGAAGGUCGGUAGUUCAAGUCUACCCAGGCCCACCA
rnacentral:tRNA from 1 species